UCCCUUGUAGCUCAGUUGGUAAAGAAUCUGCCUGCAAUGCAGAAGACCUGGGUUUGAUUCCUGGGUUGGGAA
rnacentral:tRNA from 1 species